rnacentral:rRNA from 1 species
CCCUUAGAUGUCCUGGGCCGCACGCGCGCCACACUGAUGCAUUCAACGAGUUCUACCUUGGCCGAGAGGCCUGGGCAAUCUUUUGAACCUGCAUCGUGAUAGGGAUAGAUUAUUGCAAUUAUUAAUCUUGAACGAGGAAUUCCUAGUAAACGCAGAUCAUCAAUCUGCAUUGAUUACGUCCCUGCCCUUUGUACACACCGCCCGUCGCACCUACCGAUUGAAUGGUCCGGUGAAGCCUCGGGAUUGUGGCGAGUUCCCUUUAUUGGGAGUUUGUCGCGAGAACUUGUCUAAACCUUAUCAUUUAGAGGAAGGUGAAGUCGUAACA